ensembl:misc_RNA
AGAAGUGGUGUACAGAAUGAAAAAGUUUGAUGACACCUGUUUUACAGUGCAAGCCAGCAUCAAUGCAAGCUUCCCCACACUGCACCACCAAUGUGCUUUAACCCUGACUUCAAGGGACCACCCUGAGAUGUAAGAGAACAAUUCCUCCUCUACAGCCAUUCAGUCUUUGCUCAU